UACGUAGGGGGCAAGCGUUGUCCGGAAUCACUGGGCGUAAAGCGUGCGUAGGCGGUCAUGUCAGUCUGGAGUGAAAGACCAGGGCUCAACCCUGGGGGUGCUUUGGAAACUGCAUGACUUGAGUGCUGGAGAGGCAAGGGGAAUUCCACGUGUAGCGGUGAAAUGCGUAGAUAUGUGGAGGAAUACCAGUGGCGAAGGCGCCUUGCUGGACAGAAACUGACGCUGAGGCACGAAAGCGUGGGGAGCAAACAGG
rnacentral:rRNA from 1 species